rnacentral:rRNA from 1 species
CCUACGGGAGGCAGCAGUGGGGAAUAUUGCACAAUGGGGGAAACCCUGAUGCAGCAACGCCGCGUGAAGGAAGAAGGCAUUCGGGUUGUAAACUUCUUUUAAGAGGGAAGAGCAGAAGACGGUACCUCUUGAAUAAGCCACGGCUAACUACGUGCCAUCAGCGGCGGCAAUACGUAGGUGGCAAGCGUUGUCCGGAUUUACUGGGUGUAAAGGGCGUGCAGCCGGGAAGACAAGUCAGAUGGGAAAUCCCGCGGCUCAACCGCGGACCUGCAUUUGAAACUGUUUUUCUUGAGUACCGGAGAGGUCAUCGGAAUGCCUUGUGUAGCGGUGAAAUGCGUAGAUAUAAGGAAGAACACCAGUGGCGAAGGCGGAUGACUGGACGGCAACUGACGGUGAGGCGCGAAAGCGUGGGGAGCAAACAGGAUUAGAUACCCCGGUAGUC